rnacentral:piRNA from 1 species
UAGACAAUCUGCAUAUAUUUCAGGUCAAGG